GAUGAACGCUGACAGAAUGCUUAACACAUGCAAGUCUUUGGCGAAGCUGUGCUCGCCCAGCCUAGCCAAGGCGGACGGGUGAGUAACGCGUAAGGAACUUGCCCUGCAGUCAGGGAUAACAGACGGAAACGACUGAUAAGACCUGGUAAAGUCAGGCAGACUCAUGUCCAGCCUGAUGAAAAGAGAUGCUGCAGGAGAGCCUUGCGUCCUAUUAGCUUGUUGGUGGGGUAACGGCCCACCAAGGCGAUGAUAGGUAGCCGGCCUGAGAGGGUGGACGGCCACAAGGGGACUGAGAUACGGCCCUUACUCCUACGGGAGGCAGCAGUGGGGAAUAUUGGACAAUGGGGGCAACCCUGAUCCAGCAAUUCUGUGUGCACGAUGAAGGUUUUCGGAUUGUAAAGUGCUUUCAGCAGGGAAGAAAAAAAUGACGGUACCUGCAGAAGAAGCGACGGCUAAAUACGUG
rnacentral:rRNA from 1 species